rnacentral:rRNA from 1 species
AUGAGCUCCUGUCUCUCUCACAUCAUUAGAGAUCAUUCCCUGGACUUUAUUGGUCUACAAGAGACUCACAAAAAAGUUAUCGAUAGUUUCUUUAGAAAAAUUGACCCAUACCAGACAUAUGAAUGGAAUUUUGUUCCAUCUAUAGGCAGAUCUGGGGGAAUCCUUUGUGGAGUGAGAAAAGAAAGGUUUGAGGGAGUAGUGUGGAAAAAGGGCAGGUUUAUCCUGCAAGCUUCUUUCUUUGAUAAUAAAGAAAAAAAGAAGUGGACUCUUUGCACUGUAUAUGGUGCUGCACAUGAUAAAGAUAAGGAUCACUUCCUAACUGAACUGUCUGAGUUCUGUAGCCAUAUAUCAUCCCCUUUACUUAUUGGGGGAGACUUUAAUAUUCUUAGGCAUGCUGGGGAAAAAGCAAACUGGAAACAUACCCCUUACUCUGAUUUGUUUAACUCUGUGAUCAAUGCUAUGUCUUUGAGUGAGGUUUAUAUGAGUGGGGGGAUGUACACCUGGACCAAUGGCCAAUCCCAUCCAACUCUGGAAAAAUUAGACCGUGUCCUUAUGAGUAGUGACUGGGAGGACAUUUUCCCUCAAGUCAACAUUAGGAAAUUGGUCAUAGAUGUAUCAGAUCAUAACGCUCUUUUGCUGUCCUCUGAC